GAUGAAGAACGUAGCAAAAUGCGAUAAGUAAUGUGAAUUGCAGAAUUCAGUGAAUCAUCGAAUCUUUGAACGCACAUUGCGCCCGCCAGUAUUCUGGCGGGCAUGCCUGUUCGAGCGUCAUUUCAACCCUCAAGCACAGCUUGGUGUUGGGACUCGCGUUAAUUCGCGUUCCCCAAAUUGAUUGGCGGUCACGUCGAGCUUCCAUAGCGUAGUAGUAAAACCCUCGUUACUGGUAAUCGUAGCGGCCACGCCGUUAAACCCCAACUUCUGAAUGUUGACCUCGGAUCAGGUAGGAAUACCCGCUGAACUUAAGCAUAUCAAUAAGCGGAGGA
rnacentral:misc_RNA from 1 species